AACGCACCUUGCGCCCUUUGGUAUUCCGAAGGGCACGCCUGUUUGAGUGUCAUGUUCAUCUCAAUCUAAUAGCUUUGCGGCUACUAAGAUUGGAUUUGGGAGCCUGCUGGCCCUUUCUUUGGGUCGGCUCUCCUUGAAUGCAUGAGUGAGCGUCUGGCUCGCGUCGCUGGUGUAAUAGUUAUUUCACCGUUGAGACGCUUGUCUAAUGAGCUUGCUUUCGAACCGUCUUCUCAUUGGAGACAAUACUUGACAUAUUUGACCUCAAAUCAGGUGGGACUACCCGCUGAACUUAA
rnacentral:misc_RNA from 1 species